GCUCGAGUGGCGAACGGGUGAGUAACACGUGAGUAACCUGCCCUUGACUUUGGGAUAACUUCAGGAAACUGGGGCUAAUACCGGAUAGGAGCUCCUGCUGCAUGGUGGGGGUUGGAAAGUUUCGGCGGUUGGGGAUGGACUCGCGGCUUAUCAGCUUGUUGGUGGGGUAGUGGCCUACCAAGGCUUUGACGGGUAGCCGGCCUGAGAGGGUGAUCAGCCACAUCGGGACUGAGACACGGCCCGA
rnacentral:rRNA from 1 species